rnacentral:ncRNA from 1 species
ACACGACUCUGGAGAGUCCCUUAAAUGGGCGCCGAAGGUGCACGAAACAGCCCCAUACUGUUUCUUAUCUCUCAGGCCAAAGGACAGAGCU